rnacentral:rRNA from 1 species
AUUGAACGCUGGCGGCAGGCCUAACACAUGCAAGUCGAACGGUAACAGGAAACAGCUUGCUGUUUCGCUGACGAGUGGCGGACGGGUGAGUAAUGUCUGGGAAACUGCCUGAUGGAGGGGGAUAACUACUGGAAACGGUAGCUAAUACCGCAUAACGUCGCAAGACCAAAGAGGGGGACCUCCGGGCCUCUUGCCAUCGGAUGUGCCCAGAUGGGAUUAGCUUGUUGGUGGGGUAACGGCUCACCAAGGCGACGAUCCCUAGCUGGUCUGAGAGGAUGACCAGCCACACUGGAACUGAGACACGGUCCAGACUCCUACGGGAGGCAGCAGUGGGGAAUAUUGCACAAUGGGCGCAAGCCUGAUGCAGCCAUGCCGCGUGUAUGAAGAAGGCCCUCGGGUUGUAAAGUACUUUCAGCGGGGAGGAAGGGAGUAAAGUUAAUACCUUUACUCAUUGACGUUACCCGCAGAAGAAGCACCGGCUAACUCCGUGCCAGCAGCCGCAGUAA